CCUCUAGCGGCUGUCAAUUAGACAGCCACUAGAGGCUGGAUUAACCCUAUUAUAAACAUAGCAGUUUCUCUCUGAAACUGCUAUGUUUAUAGAAAAAAGGGUUAAACCUAGCUGGACCAGGCACCCAGACCACUUCAUUAAGCUGAAGUGGUCUGGGUGCCUAUAGUGGUCCUUUAAAGAAUUCACGAACACAUGGACUUACACACCACACUCAAUAGAGCCCACUCUUCAGUGUGACGAAUGUUUCAUCAGACCCCAUCUUGGUUUUUCCGGCAGGACUGAAUGACAGCGGGGUCAUUACUACAGCCAUUUUGAACAAUUCCAUUCCAUCACUAUACAGAAACCAUUCUCACCGUACCAGGUCUGGACGGCGGACCGCCAAGAGCUUGUAGACGUCAAACUCCAGACCCUGGUCGACUAAAGAGCAUAUCAGCUUCCCAUCUGACUCCAGGGGUUUCUAGUGAUCCAGCCUUCUUAUUCGUAAGAAGUCGGGCGAGUUUACACACUGUCUUUAACCUCCGGAAUCGGUAGUUUUCUGUUCCAUGUACCAACAUUUGCUGUGAAUCCUGUGGAACGACCGGCCUGGCCAGGUCAACAUAUCUACUCUCCAAAAUAAGUGCAGGCUCUUGGUGAUUCACCAACUGCUAAGACCAGUGACAGCUCAUCUUCGUUUACAAAGGUUUCCAUUACCUCAUAGCUGGACUCCUUAUUACUCUCCCACGAGGAUGCCCUGGACUGAUCUCAACCUCACUUUACGAUCCCCUUGUUCAUAUACCUGGGCUUGCAGUCUUCCAAGGAAUGUCGACCCGCACCCUGUCCCAGGUGGAGAAGUCCUGGGGUUCAGGAUAGACGCGCCCUUAGGAGUGCUUCGUCAGCCACAGUCAUGAAUACUUCACAAUUCGC